GACGAACGCUGGCGGCGUGCCUCAUACAUGCAAGUGGAGCGACGAACCAGGGCUUUGCCCUGGGGCUAAGCCGCGAACGGGUGAGUAACACGUGGGUAACCUGCCCCGAAGACCGGGACAACCCGAGGAAACUCGGGCUAAUACCGGAUGUGCUCGCCGCGCACAAGCGCGGCGCGGAAAGGAAGCUUCGGCCUCCGCUUUGGGAGGGGCCCGCGGCCCAUUAGCUUGUUGGUGAGGUAACGGCUCACCAAGGCUGCGAUGGGUAGCUGGUCUAAGAGGACGGUCAGCCACACUGGGACUGAGACACGGCCCAGACUCCUACGGGAGGCAGCAGUAGGGAAUCUUGCGCAAUGCGCGAAAGCGUGACGCAGCAACGCCGCGUGGGGGAAGAAGGCCUUCGGGUUGUAAACCCCUUUCAGGAGGGACGAAGGUGCGGCGGCGAACAGCCGUCCGUACUGACGGUACCUCCAGAAGAAGCCCCGGCUAACUACGUGCCAGCCGCCGCAGUAAGAC
rnacentral:rRNA from 1 species